GCUGCCUGAAGGAGACAGUCCAGGAUAUUAAUGAACAGACUUCUGCCAUGGUAGGUCAGUGCCUCAUAACAUCUAUCUGGUAGUCUUCUAUCCAACAGCUGGCCAUUCCAGGAGCUACAGGGGAAAACACAAGAAAGGCAAGGAGAACUGAGUUGUGGGAUGGAUAAACACGUUGCCAAUUGCCACACAGGAAGCCCUCAAGAGAACUGGAGGAAGCUCAGAUUUGCUGAAUGUGAGAUCAAGUUCAAAGAGCUUCAUCUGAAUGGCUGAACUAACACAGUGUCUUAAAACCUCCAGCAGAUCACACACUACCUGAGCUCUCGGGAGCAUGAACUAUUCUGUAGGAAAACAUAAACCUCUUUUUAUGUGUGAAGUGAAACCUGUGAGGUGUAACAUCUCCUGCAGCCCUGGGGAAGUCCUGGCUGUGGAUACGGUCCUCUGCAUUCCUGGAGCAGGUCUAGAGCAUCACCCCUCCCUACAGCUGAGCAAUACAAGGGGGUCACCACCACCUCUGAGAUUUCCCUGACCGAAUUUGCAAAGCUGACUCUGAAAGUAAACAUGCACCACAGCUGCACCGCUGCCUUUUUGUCGUCUCAUAGUAUAAGCAACAGCAAAGCACGGGGCUCAGAAUACAGUGUAUUCAGAAUAUCCAACAUAGAGGUGAAUUAAAGAAGUCACAAAUCAAAGAAGUGAAUGAGGCAUAGCAGUUGGAAGAAGGAAAAGAACAACGAAGGAAGUAGAGGUGACUUUAAGACUGGUAAGGUUAUUUCUUUCUUGUUUUAUUUUCUUUAUUAUUUGAUUUCUUGGACGGUGUGAUGUCUUAUCCUGUUAAGUGAAGGAACAUGAGAAGAGUGUUAUCUGUAUCUCCAAGCUGGUGGUAUCGGUAGAAGUGAUAUGUGAGGCUGGGAAUCAAGGUCCCAACCCAUUCUGCUCAUGGCUGGUUCACUGUCACAGAAAUUCAAGGGCGACAGACCUUAUACCAUCAGGAAGAGCCACAACAUUCCCAAGGAAAAAAAAAAAACAUAGCAGAUAUCCCUCCAUAAGAAACAAUCCGGAGUAGGAACAGGCUUGUCUAGUGUCCAGCUGAAGGUACCAGGGCUUAUCUAUAGUGCUGAGCUGCUGUUUUCAGAGUCAUAAGCAGCCACCUGACGUACAGCGACAAGAACAAGGCUGUCUUGGCAGUCUACACCAAAGAGGCUGUCUGAGAGCCUUCCCAGGCAAAAAAAAAAAAAAAAAAAAAAAAGAAAAAAGAAAAAAGAAAAAGGCCUUGACAUCACUUCACUGCAUGAAAAAGCUCAGAAGGUUUGGUUUUUACUCCAAGGCAGAUCCAAAACACAUUCUGAAACCUUGAAAGUCAUCGUAAAAUGGAUCCGUUGUCUUCCUGCCAGCUCCAGUCAGCUGGUUGG